rnacentral:rRNA from 1 species
UGGGGAAUAUUGGACAAUGGGCGCAAGCCUGAUCCAGCAAUGCCGCGUGUGUGAAGAAGGCCUUCGGGUUGUAAAGCACUUUUAUCAGGAGCGAAACGCUGUCGGCUAAUACCCGGCGGAACUGACGGUACCUGAGGAAUAAGCACCGGCUAACUUCGUGCCAGCAGCCGCGGUAAUACGAAGGGUGCAAGCGUUAAUCGGAAUUACUGGGCGUAAAGCGUGCGUAGGCGGUUUCUUAAGUCUGCUGUGAAAUCCCCGGGCUCAACCUGGGAAUGGCAGUGGAUACUGGGAGGCUAGAGUGUGUCAGAGGGUGGUGGAAUUCCCGGUGUAGCGGUGAAAUGCGUAGAGAUCGGGAGGAACAUCAGUGGCGAAGGCGGCCACCUGGGACAACACUGGCGCUGAGGCACGAAAGCGUGGGGAGCAAACAGGAUUAGGAUACCCUGGUAGUCCACGCCCUAAACGAUGCGAACUGGAUGUUGGUCUCAACUCGGAGAUCAGUGUCGAAGCUAACGCGUUAAGUUCGCCGCCUGGGGAGUACGGUCGCAAGACUGAAACUCAAAGGAAUUGACGGGGUCAUAGCUGUUUCCUG